rfam:Schistosoma rodhaini strain Burundi genome assembly, scaffold: SROB_scaffold0010933
ACCCAGCUGACGAGUCUCGAAUAGGACGAAACGCAUGUACGGGAU